rnacentral:rRNA from 1 species
UAAAAACUACUCAGAAGAUUCCAAAAUAAAACAAGAGUUAAGUUUCCUAGGCGGGCGCCUGAUCCGGGGCACACGGGGCGCCCGGGGCAAUCCCGCCGAAGCAACAAUAGGUAUGUUCACAUGGGUUUGGGAGUUGUAAACUCGGUAAUGAUCCUUCCGUAGGUGAACCUGCGGAGGGAUCAUUACCGAGUUUACAACUCCCAAACCCAUGUGAACAUACCUAUUGUUGCUUCGGCGGGAUUGCCCCGGGCGCCCCGUGUGCCCCGGAUCAGGCGCCCGCCUAGGAAACUUAACUCUUGUUUUAUUUUGGAAUCUUCUGAGUAGUUUUUACAAAUAAAUAAAAACUUUCAACAACGGAUCUCUUGGUUCUGGCAUCGAUGAAGAACGCAGCGAAAUGCGAUAAGUAAUGUGAAUUGCAGAAUUCAGUGAAUCAUCGAAUCUUUGAACGCACAUUGCGCCCGCCAGUAUUCUGGCGGGCAUGCCUGUCUGAGCGUCAUUUCAACCCUCAUGCCCCUAGGGCGUGGUGUUGGGGAUCGGCCAAAGCCCGCGAGGGACGGCCGGCCCCUAAAUCUAGUGGCGGACCCGUCGUGGCCUCCUCUGCGAAGUAGUGAUAUUCCGCAUCGGAGAGCGACGAGCCCCUGCCGUUAAACCCCCAACUUUCCAAGGUUGACCUCAGAUCAGGUAGGAAUACCCGCUGAACUUAAGCAUAUCAAUAAGCGGAGGAA